rnacentral:misc_RNA from 1 species
CAGCAGCAGUCUCUCGGGGGGUUCCAGAGCUGGCCCGCAACGGCAAGUGCUCGCCUCCCGGUUUCCACGCUCACACACCCGUGCACUUUUGGGUGGAGGGGUCUUCCCCUCCCCCGUCUUCCACAACGCCUGUUUUUGUAACGCAUGUAGCCUUUGGGCUCUACGGAGCCUCUAAAGAAA